rnacentral:tRNA from 4 species
GCGAAAAUAGCUCAGCUGGUAGAGCGCAACCUUGCCAAGGUUGAGGUCGCGGGUUCGAACCCCGUUUUUCGCUCCA